rnacentral:rRNA from 1 species
CCUACGGGAGGCAGCAGUGAGGAAUAUUGGUCAAUGGCCGAGAGGCUGAACCAGCCAAGUCGCGUGAGGGAAGACGGCCCUACGGGUUGUAAACCUCAUUUGUCGGGGAGCAAAGCGAACCACGUGUGGUUUAUUGAGAGUACCCGAAGAAAAAGCAUCGGCAAACUCCGUGCCAGCAGCCGCGGUAAUACGGAGGAUGCGAGCGUUAUCCGGAGUUAUUGGGUUAAAAGGGUGCGCAGGCGGAGGUGCAAGUCAGCGGUAAAAUUGCGGGGCGCCACCCCGUACUGCUGUUGAAACUACAUCGCUUGAGUGCGCGAGAAGUAUGCGGAAUGCGUGGUGUAGCGGUGAAAUGCAUAGAUAUCACGCGGAACACCAGUGGCGAAGGCAGCAUACCGGCGCGCAACUGACGCUCAUGCACGAAAGCGUGGGUAGCGAACAGGAUUAGAUACCCCUGUAGUC